UAGCAUAAUCAUUAGUUUUUUAAUUGAAAACUGGAAUGAAAGGUUAAAUAAAAAAUAAUCUUUAUUAGUUUUAAAAUAUUUGAAUUUGUUUUUUUAGUAAAAAAACUAAAAUAAUAUAAAAAGACGAUAAGACCCUAUAAAGCUUUAUAAUAUAAGAUUUAUUAAUUAAUUAGAAUUAUAAAAUUAAUUUUUUUUUAUUAUUUAAUUGGGGUGAUUUAAAGAUUUAAAAAACUCUUUAUAAAAAAAAUAUCAUUUUUAAAUGUUUUUUGAUCCUUAUAUAAUAAAGAGUAAAAAAAUAAGUUACUUUAGGGAUAACAGCGUAAUUUUUUUAAAGAGUUCUAAUCGAUAAAAAAGAUUGCGACCUCGAUGUUGAAUUAAGAUAAAUUUUAGGUGUAGAAGUUUAAUAUUU
rnacentral:rRNA from 1 species